rnacentral:rRNA from 1 species
CGCUGGCGGCGUGCUAAUACAUGCAAGUCGAGCGAACAGACGAGGACUUGCUCCUCUGACGUUAGCGGCGGACGGGUGAGUAACACGUGGAUAACCUACCUAUAAGACUGGGAUAACUUCGGGAAACCGGAGCUAAUACCGGAUAAUAUAUUGAACCGCAUGGUUCAAUAGUGAAAGACGGUUUUGCUGUCACUUAUAGAUGGAUCCGCGCCGCAUUAGCUAGUUGGUAAGGUAACGGCUUACCAAGGCAACGAUGCGUAGCCGACCUGAGAGGGUGAUCGGCCACACUGGAACUGAGACACGGUCCAGACUCCUACGGGAGGCAGCAGUAGGGAAUCUUCCGCAAUGGGCGAAAGCCUGACGGAGCAACGCCGCGUGAGUGAUGAAGGUCUUCGGAACGUAAAACUCUGUUAUUAGGGAAGAACAAAUGUGUAAGUAACUAUGCACGUCUUGACGGUACCUAAUCAGAAAGCCACGGCUAACUACGUGCCAGCAGCCGCGGUAAUACGUAGGUGGCAAGCGUUAUCCGGAAUUAUUGGGCGUAAAGCGCGCGUAGGCGGUUUUUUAAGUCUGACGUGAAAGCCCACGGCUCAACCGUGGAGGGUCAUUGGAAACUGGAAAACUUGAGUGCAGAAGAGGAAAGUGGAAUUCCAUGUGUAGCGGUGAAAUGCGCAGAGAUAUGGAGGAACACCAGUGGCGAAGGCGACUUUCUGGUCUGUAACUGACGCUGAUGUGCGAAAGCAUGGGGAUCAAACAGGAUUAGAUANCCUGGUAGUCCACGCCGUAAACGAUGAGUGCUAAGUGUUAGGGGGUUUCCGCCCCUUAGUGCUGCAGCUAACGCAUUAAGCA